CAGAACAGUCCUACUGAAAGACUCACAUGAGGUAAUUUGACCUCCGUUGCUUUUGGAUGCAUUGGAAAUGCUUUUGGAUGUAACUGAGGCAUUUCUACUUAAACAAACACUUUUACAGGGACAGUGAUGACAACACUGUUGUCUGAGACAGAAAUUAGUUUGUACCUGGUUGUGACAACUAGGAUAGUACUCACUGUUUUAUUGUGUAUUUGACCUAAAAUAGAGCAAAUACUGUAUCUCAAUCCUCAGACCCAUCCAGCAUUCCUUUAGUCUCCAGAAUAAACCUUUCAAAUCUCCAUGCAGCUGUCAUUCCUGCCUAUUCUUCUCUUUUCUUCUCUCCAAUUCUCAUACACAGAGGGAUUGUCCCCUCUAUUGUUGGCCUCUUGGUGAAUCUAUUUUAGCUGGGAUGAAAAUCAGCCUCUUCAGAAUUCUGCCGACACACAGUCAAUGGAGGUGUCAGUCUACCAGGACUCUGUAUUGUCCACAGGAUCAUUUAAUUGGAGAGGCACAACGGUCACAGUUGUCAGGACAACCUACCAGCCUACCCUCAUGGCCGCCCUCCAAGCCCAGACAAAGCUGUGGCCUGCUGGACCAGGCGUGUGUUGUCCACAGUCCCUGAGGGGCCGCCGCCACCUCCAACAAUACACAAAGACCCCCCACCCUGGCACUACCCUCACCCUGUCUCUACCCUGUCUACCCACCAUCCUGCCCCCGCCGCUGCUCCCCUCACCACCCCAGCCCACCGCUUUGUGAAGGAGGGAGAAGGAAGUUCCUGUCAUCUCCAUUUCAAGGCACCCCCUGCCUCCUCGUACCCCCCCUCUCUGGCCCCUUUAUGAUGAUGUUACACGCACCGAUGGACAGAGGGAUGCACACACACACACACACACACACACACACACCGCAUAGUUCAAGUAUCGAGUGUUAACUCAAGUUAUUCUGGAUGAAGGAAAUAUGUAAUACACAGUGCAUUUGGAAAGUA